UUACCAUGCAGUCGAACGGUAACAGGCCGCAAGGUGCUGACGAGUGGCGAACGGGUGAGUAAUGCAUCGGAACGUGCCCAAUCGUGGGGGAUAACGCAGCGAAAGCUGUGCUAAUACCGCAUACGAUCUAAGGAUGAAAGCGGGGGACUCAGCAAUGGGCCUCGCGCGAUUGGAGCGGCCGAUGUCAGAUUAGGUAGUUGGUGGGGUAAAGGCUCACCAAGCCAACGAUCUGUAGCUGGUCUGAGAGGACGACCAGCCACACUGGAACUGAGACACGGUCCAGACUCCUACGGGAGGCAGCAGUGGGGAAUUUUGGACAAUGGGCGCAAGCCUGAUCCAGCAAUGCCGCGUGCAGGAAGAAGGCCUUCGGGUUGUAAACUGCUUUUGUACGGAACGAAAAGGCUCUGGUUAAUACCUGGGGCUCAUGACGGUACCGUAAGAAUAAGCACCGGCUAACUACGUGCCACA
rnacentral:rRNA from 1 species